UACGUAGGGGGGCUAGCGUUGUCCGGAAUCAUUGGGCGUAAAGCGCGUGUAGGCGGCCCGGUAAGUCCGCUGUGAAAGUCGGGGGGCUCAACCCUCGGAAGCCGGUGGAUACUGUCGGGCUCGAGUACGGAAGAGGCGAGUGGAAUUCCUGGUGUAGCGGUGAAAUGCGCAGAUAUCAGGAGGAACACCAAUUGCGAAGGCAGCUCGCUGGGACGUAACUGACGCUGAGACGCGAAAGCGUGGGGAGCAAACAGG
rnacentral:rRNA from 1 species